CCUGAGAGUUGGAAAGAAGCAAUACUUAUCCCAAAAAGGAAGACAGGGAAAGAUGCUAGUAAGCCAUCAAACUAUAGAGCAGGGAUGGCGAACAUCAGUCCUGGAGAGCCGCAGGCCCGCAGCCCUGCAGAGUUUUGCUUCAACCACCAAACACACCUGAACAAGCUCAACAAGGUCUGGUGCUUCCUGAGAAGAUUGAUCUGCUGGCUGAACUUCAUCACUGCAUCACGGAGGAUGAUGUUGAGCCAACAGCACUGCCAACCAGCAUCAAGCACUAUUCUGCACAACUAGUUAAACGUCUAAACACACAUACAUACUCUCAUAUUAUAUGCCUUCCACAGUUGCCUCUUGAUUGAAGACUUCUGUCACAGUUUCCCUAAUUUAGGAAACACAUGCUUCAUGAACUCUGUUGCAGUGUCUCACCGGCUCCUCUUUCCGGGACGAUGUGUUUCUCAGCGGAAAUCUUGGAAUGAGGGAAGCACAAUGCUCAGGUACCAACACCACUGAACAUAUUAGAUGAAGUUAUGGACAUUAUAUUUAAAUCAACCAGCAAAACUAAAGCAAUUCUCUCAAUAAAUUAAACGUACACAUUUAUCUCAGGGCGCUCACUGACCUGCAUAUGACUAGGCUGACAGGCAAUGACAAGAAGCUGAAGAUAAAGCUGUUGUCUACAGUGAAGGCCUGCACUGAAACUCACCAUCCUGAUUUCUUAGGAGACCAUCAGCAGGAGGAGGGCGAGCUUCUACAGAAGACACUUGUCCUGCAGCAAACAUGGAGUUCCAGCUCAACCGCCGGCACACCUGUGACAGGUAACUUCACACGUCCACACCUGCACUCGUUUCAGACUCAUUUAUGUGAUGCUGAUGGUCUUCUGUGGCUUCCAAAGGAGGUUCAGAGAGGAUUACGACUACCUCUCACUGGUCCUCAGUCCUCAAGGACGCCUCAUAGACAGCCUGCAGCAGUACUUUAAAGGGAGUGACAUCACUGAUGACAUCAUAUCAGCAGCAGGACGUACAGGUCAACAAGUUUAAGUAGUUUCUGACUGGCUGCUGUCUGUGUUGUUUGUUUUCUCCAGACUUCUUCGUUUGACUGCUCAUGCCUCUGAGGCGCUGGCACAGUACAACACCCUGUUAAUCAGUUAAUACCCUGCAGGAUAACUGAACACAAACUCCUGAUCAUCUCAAAGUCUCUGCAGGGUCCCGCUGCUUCUGGUUAUGCUCUCUGACGGGGAAUCCUGUAGCUGGAGGAUCGACUGGAAGAUCCAGAAGAGUUUUCCCUGUCCAGCAGUGCAGGUAACACUCAGGUCAUCAAACAUCUGCCCUCUGCUGGUCAGUUAUGAAACACUCACCUGAACCAGUUUAAAAGAGGAUGGUUUCUCUGAAAACAUCUGAAUCAUGUUUAAGCAUGCAUUGAGUAUUUACUGAAUUGUUUUCUUCUUUGAUGUAUGACCUCAACAGAGAGCAGAAAGAUCACAG
ensembl:lncRNA